ACUGUUGAUCCUCCUCUCGCUGUCCGGGGCAUGGCGGAGUCAGGUGGGCUGAAGUCGCACGGGGGGCGGAGCGCGAGCAGGAGGCCUUCGGCCCCCCCAGUCCUCUGUAGGACAGCACCCCCUUGCUAGAGAUUAGCAGCUGUUUGCCGAAGGUCGCUCCAGCCCUGGCUCUUUGAAGCAGUUUAAACAGUUGGUGCAAGCACACCGGGAGCCCCGGCCCGUGCGCUGCUAUCGGAGCUGCCACUCCCUGAUUUGGACCUGCAGAACCUUGCCCGCUUUAUCUCGCUCCACCGGCUGACUGUGGCGCCAGUUUCGGGGUUAGGGCUCUGAGCUGGGACCCGGACUUUGCAAGAGGCCAACUGCCCUCUGGCCCCAGGUCCCAUUCAGUUGCUGGUGCUCAAACACCUCUGCCCCAGGGAGAUGGAUGAGUCCACGCUGCAAACUCGUGCUCGCUUACUCGAAGGCCCUCCACUUCUCCCACGUGCCCUGGGCUCGGGGCCCAAGCGGUCACUCAGUAUCACUUCAUCCACCCAGAGCCCAGCAAGCGGGCACAGCUCUAACAGAAUCACCGAAGUGGAUUCUAAGACUCUCAGGGUUCCUUUACACGUACUUACUCUAUUUGGGAAUUUUGAGCUCAAUCCAGAGUUUUCCAGGAAGUGUCAUCAAAGAAGGCUUCCGAGGGCAACAGGAUUGGAUACUGGUGACGCUUUGGCCCCUUCAUCUACCCAGCUGAUCCACCAAGUGUCAAGGCCUGAGGGAUGAAUCCGCUGAUUCACACUCUUCCCAGGCUUCAAGGCUUCUUCCUCUUACUGUUGGAGCUGGAAAGAUCCUCGGACCCCUUUGGAAUUGCAAUCGAAAUGUUCUAUGGUCCAGUAGGCUGAGUAUUACGUCUGCAAACAGCCUGGUCUAUGCAAGUUUCCUGCCUUCCAGGCCUUCACAGGGAGACUUUGCAGGAAAAAAAAAAAAAGGAAAAAAAGGAAAAGAAAAAAAGGGGGAAAAAACAAAGAGGAAAGAAAGGAAGAAAUGAGGCAGACAAGAUGGCUCAGAGAAGUCCUGCAAAUUGUCUUCUGACCUCUGACCUCUACAUUUUUUCUGUAGGACUUAUGUUGCACAUGCACACACACACACACACACACACACACACACACAUAAUACAUUUUUUUAUAUUAAAAAAAAAAGGAACAAAUUGCCCUGGCCCUUGGACCUUCCAUGCCUGCCAUCUCAAGCCCUAGAGGAUUCUAGCCCUAGGCACAAGGAGAUUGCUGCCAGGUAACAGAAGCCUGCCUGUUUGGACUGUCAACUCCACAGACCUGUGACAGAUUACAUAAAUCACUGCCAACUACUGAGUAUUAGGUGGUUUGUUUCGUAACAGUAGGGUGAUCUGAUGAGCAUAUGUUGAGUCUCAGAGGCAGUGUGCCUCCUGGGUGCCUUGUUUAUUAACUGCCACUGAGAACACGCACAGGGACCGCUCUUAGUGAUUACUUUAAAUAAAACCUCCAGACCCUCAGAAAAGAACUUACUUUUCUAAGACUGAGGAAAGUAUUUUUCCCAUAAUAUAUAUCUGUUGCUACCAACAGAGCAAAUGACCUCAUCACUCCAGGCCUUACUUUCUGUCCAAUAGAUGCUGGUAAGAUACUCUCAUUAAACACACAGAGCACAGACACCAUCUGCUUAGGACUAGAUGGUGAUGCAAAUGCAUACCCAGAUAUUGACCCUGCCUGACCUCAUUUACUCAGGUUACGUAAGAUGCUUUGUGAAAGGCUACUAAGGAAAUUUGAACUCGAGGAGCCGCCUGCCCAGUAGAUAAACUGAACUCCAGCACAUCAGGGUGCAGGAUAAUUGGUGUGUUAACUUCCAAACACGCCCAUAACCUUGAGUCUUGGACUUAAGACACCUCACUGUGCAAACUAUACGCACAAAGCACUGGAAUUCUACAAAGCCAAUUCCAACCAGUGUAGUUUCCUGUUCCUCGCUGAAACAGAGCCCUGCAGUGGGAGUGGUGCUGUGAGGAAACAAAGAGAGCAGAAGUGUGAAAGCCGUCUUAGAACUUCACCUGGGGACCUCCACAAAAAUAGACACGGACUGAACGCAGACAGAAUGGAUAUCUUCCAAAAUGGCCACUGAUUUGGCCUGUCUGCUGGAGACUGAUGAUUUUACUCUUCUUGGUUUUGUCUGUCUGUAGUUUCCUGAGUAAAUUACUUUCAUAAGAAAUAUAUAUAUAUAUAUAUAUAUGGGGCUGGAGAGAUGGCUCAGCAGUUAAGAGCACCGACUACUCUUCCAGAGUUCAAUUCUUAGCAAUCACAUGGUGGCUCACAAUCAUCUGUAACAGGAUCCAAUGCCCUCUUCUGAUGUGUCUGAAGACAGCUACAGUGUACUCAUCAUGUAUAUAAAAUAAAUAAAUAAAAUCUUAGAAAGAAAGAAAGAAAGUAUGUAUGUGGGGGUGGGUAGGAUACAGAGGCGAGGAGGGUAGUGUUUCCUUUUGUCCUAAGCCACUGGGCCUAUUUUAUUUUCAAACUGGAUUUUAUUAAUGUAUAUUUUAUUACCUUUAUUUUAUUUUAUUUUAUUUUAUUUUUGCAAGUCAGGGUUUCUCUGUGUAGCUCUAGCUGUCUUGGAACUCAUUCUUUAGACCAAGCUGUCCUAGAACUCAGAAAUCUGCUUGCCUCAGCCUCCAGAGCUCAGGGAUUAAAGGUGUACACCACUACUGCCUGGCUUCUUUUCUUUCCUUUUCCUUUCUUUUCAAACUGGAUUUUUAAUCACAGACUUUGCAAGUAUAUUCACUCUGUAUUUACUCAUGCAGAGCCCAGUGACUGGAUUAUAUCUUGAGUUGUGGUUAUAAUGAGAGCCUGGAAGAGCCUUUCUUCUCUCAACAGACUCUGAAUUUGCAAAGAUUUUUACAGCAGAGUAGAAAUUCCCAAACAUGGAGGUUUAUGAGCAGAGACGAAGGACUGAAUCUUCAGAGUAAGGUGCAAAACAUUCCAUGUAUAACACUGCUGUAUGGGGAAAAUUAGCAAGAUGUAUAGGCCCGAAUUUAUGUCUGCCUUGCUGCUCCACACAGAAAUUAAUAAUGGAGGAGAAGACCAAAUACUCUUCAUUUUUAUAGGUAUUUUUACAUUUUAAAAUUAAUUAAGUAAGUAAUUAAUUAAUGUGUGCAUGCAUGCAUGUGUGUGCAUGCCAUGGUGCAUAUGUGGAGAUCAGAGGACAACUUGUGGGAAUGGCUUCUUUCCUUCUACCCUUUCUACAGGGUUCUGAAUCAUAAGGUAUUGACAGUGGCAGCCUUAUUGGAUGAGCUAUCUUGCUGGCCUUCAUUUUUGUCUUCUUCUAUGUCCAGAGUUUUGUGGAAAAAAAUUUUAGAACAAAGUAAUUAAACGGCUUCCACUUUGGACAAGCAGAUGUUGGGAUGCAGUGAGAGAGCGAGCAACGUGUCCCUGUGAACUGGCUGUGCAGAGAGGACGCAGAGUGGGGAGGGGAUGCAUUUAUGUCUGCUGAGAGAGCUGUCUUCUGUCAUCCCCCACCCCCGUGGAUGGACUUUGACUUUUGCCCUUUGAAUGAUUUUAAAAUUAAAAGAAAUCUUAGACAUC